rnacentral:lncRNA from 1 species
UGUUGAUGGGAUCUGAGUUUAAUAGGCCACAAACACCAGUCCUUUAGAGCCUCCAGGCUCUAGAGGCUUUUAAAAUAUCAGUUUUCACUUGCUAAUAUGACAGCGACGUCACACUGAUGUAUCACAAGAUCCCCAAGGCCCCUGGACACCAAAUAUUUAACCCCAGGGGAGAUUUAAGCAUCUCCUACCUGUGACUGAUAAGCCCAGCUUCUGUGUAGGCCUUUGGUGCGCACAUGGUGACUCUUGGUUCCACAACCGUUUUGAUAACUGUAUAUUAACCGAGGAGGGAGUGAACAAGCAGAAAGCGAAGGCACACCUCUAAAUACAUGAUAUUUAAGGUUUGUGGCAGAAAGUUUGUUUCAUGCCUGCACGGAGAGUUUCAACCUCCUGACUCAAAAAGGACAAAGAUUUCUUCAUCACCGAAGCCCAAAUCUAUGAAGACAACUACCAUGUAGUUUCACACUGUCUUCAUGUGAUUUCCCUAGAGUUAAGAAUGGACUUAAGUUCCUAAUACUUGGUAGAGCUGGGUUUUUGUCUCAUAUAUUAUUCAGUCAGCAUAAUAAAGAAUAAACCACAGA